UACGUAGGGGGCUAGCGUUGUCCGGAAUCAUUGGGCGUAAAGAGCGUGUAGGCGGCCCGGUAAGUCCGCUGUGAAAGUCGAGGGCUCAACCCUCGAAUGCCGGUGGAUACUGUCGGGCUUGAGUACGGGAGAGGCGAGUGGAAUUCCUGGUGUAGCGGUGAAAUGCGCAGAUAUCUGGAGGAACACCGGUGGCGAAGGCGGCAUCCUGGACCAUGACUGACGCUGAGGAGCGAAAGCCAGGGGAGCAAACGGG
rnacentral:rRNA from 1 species